AUUGAACGCUGGCGGCAUGCCUUACACAUGCAAGUCGAACGGCAGCACGGGGGCAACCCUGGUGGCGAGUGGCGAACGGGUGAGUAAUGCAUCGGAACGUGCCCUGUCGUGGGGGAUAACACAUCGAAAGAUGUGCUAAUACCGCAUACGACCUGAGGGUGAAAGCGGGGGACCGUAAGGCCUCGCGCGAUAGGAGCGGCCGAUGUCUGAUUAGCUGGUUGGUGGGGUAAAGGCCUACCCAGGCGAAGAGCAGCAGCUGGUCUGCGAGGACGACCAGCCACACUGGGACUGAGACACGGCCCAGACUCCUACGGGAGGCAGCAGUGGGGAAUUUUGGACAAUGGGGGCAACCCUGAUCCAGCCAUGCCGCGUGCGGGAAGAAGGCCUUCGGGUUGUAAACCGCUUUUGGCAGGAACGAAACGGUGCGGGCGAAUACCCUGUGCUAAUGACGGUACCUGCAGAAUAAGCACCGGCUAACUACGUGCCAGCCGCCGCCGUAAAAC
rnacentral:rRNA from 1 species